rnacentral:rRNA from 1 species
CCUACGGGGGGCAGCAGUGAGGAAUAUUGGUCAAUGGGCGCGAGCCUGAACCAGCCAAGUAGCGUGAAGGAUGACUGCCCUACGGGUUGUAAACUUCUUUUAUAAAGGAAUAAAGUGAGGCACGUGUGCCUUUUUGUAUGUACUUUAUGAAUAAGGAUCGGCUAACUCCGUGCCAGCAGCCGCGGUAAUGCGGAGGAUUCGAGCGUUAUCCGGAUUUAUUGGGUUUAAAGGGAGCGUAGAUGGGUUGAUAAGUCAGUUGUGAAAGUUUGCGGCUCAACCGUAAAAUUGCAAUUGAUACUGGUAGUCUUGAGUACAGAUGAGGUAGGCGGAAUUCGUUGUGUAGCGGUGGAAUGCUUAGAUAUCACGAAGAACACCGAUUGCGAAGGCAGCUUACUAAACUGCCACUGACAUUGAUGCUCGAAAGUGUGGGUAGCAAACAGGAUUAGAUACCCUUGUAGUC